AUAACCAUUAAUAUUAUAUGCAAUAGGUAAUAAUUCAUCUCAAAACAAUAAAACUGUCUUCCUAGAGGAUUUCCAGAAUUUCAUUACCAUUAACAGUCGAUGAAUUUGCUUCUAGAAUGGAAUUUAGAAUCAGCAAUCACCAAUCAGUAUACACAUCUUACAUGGAUAUAUUUCUAUACCAAUUUACACUGAACAAGGAACCUCUAAUAUUGAACAAUAAACCGUUAUUCCAAACAUUGUGGUCAAACGAUGUCAUAUCAAAAAACACAGUAUUUCAAUAAUCCUAAUGAGGUUACUUUACAAAGAAUGUUAUAACCAAAAGUUGUCAAAAUAUGUUGGUGGAAUAUUGUUUGUGAUAUAAUCAAAAAUGGCUUUGCGAUAACAGUGUUAUAGUAUUCUAUAGCCAGUGCAAUUUGUUAGAACUUUUCAUUCUAAAAUCAAGGAUUUACAUUUUGGUAAUGAUGCCUUGAAUUCCCCAAAAGGAAAAUUGUCUUCAAAAUAUUUUAACAUCAUUUGAACAAUGACACAAUGUGAAUAGAAAUUAUGGAUUUAUUUGGUAAUAUAUAAUAAUUAAUAAGUAUUCUAUAGCCAGUACAAUUUGUUGGAACUUUUCAUUCUUAAAUCAAGGAUAUAAAUUUUAGUAAUGACGCCUUGAAUGUUUUAACACCAUUUGAACAAUGACACAAUGUGGAUGAAAAUUAUGGAUUUAUUUGGUAAUAUA